UCUGUAGCUGAGAAGCUUAAAUCUCGGCGGUCGCAGUGGAACCAUCAGUGAGUGAUCCAAGAUGGAGCAUUCCCUGAGAAUUCCAUCGACGACACAGUAAUAC
rnacentral:pre_miRNA from 1 species